CCUACGGGGGGCAGCAGUGAGGAAUAUUGGUCAAUGGGCGGGAGCCUGAACCAGCCAAGCCGCGUGAAGGAAGAAGGCGCCAAGCGUCGUAAACUUCUUUUGUCGGGGAACAAAGGGCGCCACGUGUGGCGUUGUGAGUGUACCCGAAGAAAAAGCAUCGGCUAACUCCGUUCCAGCAGCCGCGGUAAUACGGAGGAUGCGAGCGUUGUCCGGAUUUAUUGGGUUUAACGGGGGCGUAGGCGGCCCGGAAAGUCAGCGGUAAAAUCCCGGGGCUCAACCCCGGCGAGCCGUUGAAACUGUCGGACUAGAGAAGGCGAGAGGGAGGCGGAAUGCGCGGUGUAGCGGUGAAAUGCAUAGAUAUCGCGCAGAACUCCGAUUGCGAAGGCAGCGUACCGGCGCCGGACUGACGCUGAGGCACGAAAGCGUGGGUAUCGAACAGGAUUAGAUACCCGUGUAGUC
rnacentral:rRNA from 1 species